rnacentral:rRNA from 1 species
GUGCCAGCAGCCGCGGUAAAACGUAGGAGCCAAGCGUUAUCCGAAUUCACUGGGCGUAAAGCGCGUGCAGGCGGUUGGGUAAGUUGGAUGUGAAAUCGCCCGGCUCAACUGGGCGAGGUCGUUCAAAACUGCCUGACUCGAGGACGGUAGAGGGAGGUGGAAUUCCCGGUGUAGUGGUGAAAUGCGUAGAGAUCGGGAGGAACACCAGUGGCGAAGGCGGCCUCCUGGACCGGACCUGACGCUCAGACGCGAAAGCUAGGGGAGCGAACGGGAUUAGAAACCCGAGUAGUCC